rnacentral:lncRNA from 1 species
CCGAAGAGGCCACAUGUAGGUGCUCUGGUUGGCAGUCUUAGUCUUUGAUUCAUCCUACCCACUCAUGUGAGUGGAGGAGCCUCUAAGUGAUGUCAGCCUCCUGCUGUGGAGUCACUUCCAGCUUCCAUGUCUUCUCAGCUGCGGUCCCGGACGUCAUGGAACAGAGCAGUGUAAUAUUAGGAAAUGGAGAAGAUCAUAUAAAUGCCGCAGUUCAGACUGAAUCUGAAAAAUGGAGUUUGAAACAUGUAAAAGAAGUCUGGGGCAACCAUAACCAGGAUGUUUCUGAUUGACACCUACUCCCUCAUCCUAGUCCCAUCUGAGUUUGUGAUGAAAGGCCACGUGAGGACACAACAAGAUAUCAGUCACCUGCAAACCCCAAAGAGAGCCCCUACCAGAUCUGGACCGUGCUUACAUCCUGAUCUCAGACCUCCAGCUUCCUGAACUGUGAGAAAAUUAACAUGUGUUGUUUAAGCCACCCAGGCUAUGGUAUUUUGUUACGGCAGCCCAAGCUGAUCAAUACAGGGUGUGAGGUGGCUUCCUCUCUAUUUAAACUAAAAGAGAAUAAAGACAAUAGUUUACUUUGUAGUAUGUGGAAAGUAAGUUACACAUAAUGCAGCAUGUAGAGAAAGAAUGUUGGUCUAGAAUGAUGGUAUUGAGCUUCUAAUCUUGCUUCAGUCAUCUGUCUGUGUGAUCUUGUCUUGGGCAAGCUGUAAAAGAUGGAAGCCUGUGGGGCAUCUUAGUUUCCCAAUUUCCAAAAUAAAGAGAUUUCAGCAAAAUGUUUUUUCAAGGUCUUACUCCUUCUCCUUGAAGGUUCAUUUGAUUUCCAUAAUCAUUUUUUCUCUCCCUUGAUUAAACAAUGAAAAAUGAAACACUUGAGGACUAUCUAGGGUUGUGGAGGUGUGUACCUUUUAAAUUAUGCUGAACCUCAUCUGUCUGGGAUAAUACAUGCAAUUUACCUGGGCAGUAGACCUGCUAAUUUCUCUCUGGUGUUUCCUCAAGCCAUCAGGUUUUCUGGUACUUGAUCUUUAUUUUUAAUAGCUUAUAGAUAGAGAUAAUACAUUUUUUGAAUUCAAUAGACAGUUCUAGUGAUAUUAUUAAUCCAAAUAAAAGUAUGCUAAACCUUACUUUACACUUUGAGAAAACCUUUUGCUUAU